UACAGGGGGGGCAAGCGUUGUUCGGAAUUACUGGGCGUAAAGGGUCUGUAGGUGGCUUGCUAAGUCGGACGUGAAAUCCCUCAGCUUAACUGGGGAACUGCGUCCGAUACUGGAUGGCUUGGAUUCGGGAGAGGGAUGCGGAAUUCCAGGUGUAGCGGUGGAAUGCGUAGAGAUCCGGAGGAAGACCGGUGGCGAAGGCGGCCUGCUGGGCAGUUACUGACACUGAGGCGCGACAGCGUGGGGAGCAAACAGG
rnacentral:rRNA from 1 species